rnacentral:rRNA from 1 species
UCCGUAGGUGAACCUGCGGAAGGAUCAUUAUUGAAGGGGAAGGAAACUUCCCCAAAAAGUAUGAAACCCUUGUCUAUGAGUACUACCGUUUCCUCGGCAGGCUUGCCUGCCAAUGGGGGACCCUUAUCAAUCUUUUAAUAAUGUUGUAACCGUAACCAAACAAAUAAUCAAAACUUUCAACAACGGAUCUCUUGGUUCUGGCAUCGAUGAAGAACGCAGCGAAAUGCGAUAAGUAGUGUGAAUUGCAGAAUUCAGUGAAUCAUCGAAUCUUUGAACGCACAUUGCGCCCUGUGGUAUUCCGCAGGGCAUGCCUGUUCGAGCGUCAUUUGUACCCUCAAGCUUUGCUUGGUGUUGGGCGUCUUGUCUCCAGUCUGCUGGAGACUCGCCUUAAAGUCAUUGGCAGCCGGCGUAUUGAUUUCGGAGCGCAGUACAUCUCGCGCUUUGCACUCAUAACGACGACGUCCAAAAGUACUUUUUACACUCUUGACCUCGGAUCAGGUAGGGAUACCCGCUGAACUUAA